rnacentral:rRNA from 1 species
UACGUAGGGGGCAAGCGUUGUCCGGAUUUAUUGGGCGUAAAGAGCGUGUAGGCGGCCAUGCAGGUCCGUUGUGAAAACUCGAGGCUCAACCUCGAGACGUCGAUGGAAACCGCAUGGCUAGAGUCCGGAAGAGGAGAGUGGAAUUCCCGGUGUAGCGGUGAAAUGCGCAGAUAUCGGGAAGAACACCCGUGGCGAAAGCGGCUCUCUGGGACGGUACUGACGCUGAGACGCGAAAGCGUGGGGAGCAAACAGG